AUAAACUUGAAGGUUCAAGGAGUUAGCCCUUUGUAUCAUCAUUGGCAACUUGUGUAUAGCAAGUGCCUUUGUUUGUUUUUAUGUUUCUUUGAGACAGAAUUUCUCUGUGUAGCCCUGGCUGUCCUGGACUCAUUCUGUAGACCAGGCUGGCCUCAAACUCAGAGAUCCUGCUUCUGCCUCCUGAGUGCUGAGAUUAAAGGCAUGCGUCACCAUGCCCAGGUGGUUAUUUUCAGUCAGAAUCUUGCUGUGUAGCUCAGGCUAGCCUUGAACUCAUCAGUCCUUCUACUAAAGCCUUUCAAGUGCCUGGAUCAUAAGGCUUGCACAUACCCAGCUACAGAGAAGUAUCUUAGCUUUGGUUUGCCAAAAAACAGGGUCUGAAGCUUCUGUGCAGGCUAGAAAGUCCUCCUUCCCAAGGGUAAAGGAAGAGCGGGUACGAAGGUGUGUUAAACCAGCUGCUUUUCAGACCUCUGUGGCUCCGUACCUUGGAAAUAAAAAGCAAUUUGAAAUGCCCUGUCAGAUGAAUAGUCAUUUCAGAAGAGACCUCAGUCCACCAGCUUCUAUUCCACCCUGGGAACACUUAACUCCUCUCU
rnacentral:lncRNA from 1 species